GUUCCCAGUAAUUAAAUAUGCAUUCAUAAUUUAAGCAGUUAUUUUUCUUUAUAAAACUUUUGUAAUGGCAUUAAUUAGUUUUGCCUAUUGCCCAUGGGCAGUUUUCUUUUUAGUUUUCUUAACCAAGUUACCAGUGAGUUAGUACUGACUUGUUAACUUGUCAUCCACUUGUUUGAUGUGUUUGAGCUUUUGAUUUUGCCAUUUGAUAAGGGACUUUCUGUUUUCAAUUUUCCUUAGAGUUCUUCAUUUAUUUUCAUUUAACUUUUUUCCAAGGUACAUAUUAUUAAAGUUUUAUAUUUUAAAAUAAAAGUGUUAGCCAAUGAUACAAUAGCAUAAGGCAAAUCUGUCUUUUGAUGGUUCUAUAAAUCUUUAAGCCCCCUUUUAAAAUCAAUAUUAUUCAAGUUUCUGCUCAUGUUAAUUAUGACUCAUAGUGAACAAAGUUUCUUUGGUUUUCUAAACUUUUAGCUAUGGUUCUUUUUUAAGAAAGCUUUAAGCUCUAGCUAAAACAAGUUUUUAGUAUUACAAAAAAUAUGCAGCUUUGCAUAGCAUAACAACUUUCAUUACACACCAUCUUUGAUCAAUUUAAAGCUUUUAAUC
rnacentral:lncRNA from 1 species